rnacentral:misc_RNA from 1 species
UGUAGGAGCUGCCGCAGGCUGCGAUCUUUUGAUCUUGUCUUUAAAACAACAUCGCAGCCUGCGGCAGCUCCUACA